CACUCUCAGCGAUGAAUCACUCGACUCAUGGGCCGAUGAAGAACGCAGCAAACAGGGCGUCAUCGUGUGAACUGCAGGACACAUGAACAUCGACAUUUUGAACGCAUAUCGCCGUCCAUACUGUAAGGUACUUUAAUUAUAGUUUGAAGUGCUGCUUGAACUACGUAUGGUUGAGUGCUG
rfam:Glossina pallidipes unplaced genomic scaffold Scaffold9, whole genome shotgun sequence.